rnacentral:tRNA from 1 species
GAGGGUAUAGCUCAGUGGUAGAGCAUGUGCUUAGCAUGCAUGCGAUCCUGGCUUCAAUUCCCAGUACCUCCA